UCGUUUUCAUUACUGUUUUUGCCUGUUUCCAAAUUUAAUUUUUUUGAUUCUUCGGUUCUUCUAGAUAUAAGAAGAGAGAUAAAAUUUAUUAACAUGCAAGAAAAUAAAGAAAAUAGAAAAUAUAAAUAAAAUAAAAUAAAAUAAAAUUGGGUUGCCUCCCAACAAGCGCUUGUUUAAUGUCGUUAGCUUGACGCCCCAACUAGUAUUGAGGAUGUUCUAGCUGAAUUCUUUCGUUCGUAUGGG
rnacentral:lncRNA from 1 species